GGCUGGGCCGCGGGGGGCUCGGGGUGGGAAUCCCCUCGCUCUGGGAAUUGGGGAACUUGGGGAGAGGAAGCAGCAGUGGGGGGGGUCCAGCUGGCCUUUGUGUCCAUCCUGCGAGGGGAUUCCUCCUUCCUCCUUCCUUCCUUCUCCUUCCUCUUCCUCCCUCUUCCUCCCUCUUCCUUCCUCCUCCUUCCUCCUCCUUCCUCCUCCUUCUUCCUCCUUCUUCCUCAUUCUUCCUCCUCCUUCCUCCCUUCUUCCUCCUUCCUUCUCCUUCCUCCUCCUCCUUCCCUCCUUCCUCCUCCUUCCUACCUUCUUCCUCCUUCCUUCUCCUUCCUCUUCCUCCCUCUUCCUCCCUCUUCCUUCCUCCUCCUUCCUCCUCCUUCCUCCUCCUUCUUCCUCCUUCUUCCUCAUUCUUCCUCCUCCUUCCUCCCUUCUUCCUCCUUCCUUCUCCUUCCUCCUCCUCCUUCCCUCCUUCCUCCUCCUUCCUACCUUCUUCCUCCUUCCUUCUCCUUCCUCUUCCUCCCUCUUCCUCCCUCUUCCUUCCUCCUCCUUCCUCCUCCUUCCUCCUCCUUCUUCCUCCUUCUUCCUCAUUCUUCCUCCUCCUUCCUCCCUUCUUCCUCCUUCCUUCUCCUUCCUCCUCCUCCUUCCCUCCUUCCUCCUCCUUCCUACCUUCUUCCUCCUUCCUUCUCCUUCCUCUUCCUCCCUCUUCCUCCCUCUUCCUUCCUCCUCCUUCCUCCUCCUUCCUCCUCCUUCUUCCUCCUUCUUCCUCAUUCUUCCUCCUCCUUCCUCCCUUCUUCCUCCUUCCUUCUCCUUCCUCCUCCUCCUUCCCUCCUUCCUCCUCCUUCCUACCUUCUUCCUCCUUCCUUCUCCUUCCUCUUCCUCCCUCUUCCUCCCUCUUCCUUCCUCCUCCUUCCUCCUCCUUCCUCCUCCUUCUUCCUCCUUCUUCCUCAUUCUUCCUCCUCCUUCCUCCCUUCUUCCUCCUUCCUUCUCCUUCCUCCUCCUCCUUCCCUCCUUCCUCCUCCUUCCUACCUUCUUCCUCCUUCCUUCUCCUUCCUCUUCCUCCCUCUUCCUCCCUCUUCCUUCCUCCUCCUUCCUCCUCCUUCCUCCUCCUUCUUCCUCCUUCUUCCUCAUUCUUCCUCCUCCUUCCUCCCUUCUUCCUCCUCCUUCCCUCCUUCCUCCUCCUCCUCCCUGGGGCUCUCUCAGCAUCCCCGUGCCUGGCAGGGCUCCUGGAGCUGCUCCUGGAGCUGCUCUGUGCCUGGCAGGGCUCCUGGAGCUGCUCUGUGCCCACGGGGUGGUUUUUGUGUCAGGGAAGGAGCAGCUUUGGCUCUGGGCUCUGCUGCAUCCCACGUGACGCUGCUGCGCCUCUUCGGGUUUAUUUAUCCUUCGGCCUUGCUUGGGGCCUUCUCUUUACUUUCUCUUUUAUUUUUUUUUCCUUUCUUUUUUUCCCUCCUCCUUUUUCUAUUCCUGGCACUGAAUCGAGGCUGGAUUUCCCAAACCCUCUCACUCAGCACAGAGCUGUGCUGCAGGCAGGGAGCAAAGCUGCCAGGAAUGAACCUCGGGGUGGGAGCCCUCCAGCACCAGUGACCUGUCCUGGCACUCACCCAUCGCUUUCUCCCCGUUCCAAGUGGUCUCAGAAUUCCCAGUUUGGGGUCUAAGGGGUUUGUGGGGUCAGGGUGAGCAGGGUGGGCUCACCUGGGGAGCUGGAGGGGGCUUCUCUUUAGGCUGGGGGUGUGUGAGGAGA
rnacentral:lncRNA from 12 species